GUGAAUUUAGAGGUCGAAAGACGACCUUCCUCUUCACCAUCUUUCUGACCUCCGAUUGGAGUUCCUCUGGCCGCUUCACCGCAGGCUCUGGCUUCCUUUUCUCCAGUCUGCGCAGGAAGUCUCUGUGAUGACCAGGUCUCACCGUCCAGAUCUGCAGGCAGCUCAGCCUUCAGAACCGUGACAGAGCCAAGUGAUUGUUGGGAGCAGAGGAAUGGGAGAAAGCCAGAAAUCCAUUGAAAGAUACUUUUAAUCCACUUAGGAAUACUUACGUAAAUACAUCUUGAAAACUUAAACUGGAAAUAAGCUUACACCAGAAUGAAACCAGUAGGCUGUGCAGGGGCUGGCUGUGGUCAGGACUCAGCAGGUGAAGGUGCCUGCUGCCCAGCCUGAUGAUCCGAGUCCACUUUCUGGAAUCUCCAUGGUUGACUGCCUCCAAGAGUUCCUUCUACAGCUGGAAUGCAAGAUCCUGAGUGGAGUCCAGGUGGUGGGUCUGGGAGCCUCCAGAGAGUCAUGGCCAGUCAGGAUGGCUGCCGUCCCCGUGCUUCUGGAGAGGGGCUUAGCCAAGAGGAAGCCACCCCAAAGGCUGAUCUCCUGACAGUUGAGCCGGUCCCCUGACAUGUGGCAUGCUGCAGAGCCUCGGAGGAAAGAGACAGCAACACUGACGAAUGAGCCCAGUCUUCUGCAGGCGUUUUCUCAUCUGGGGGUCCCUCCUCUCAGAUGACUCUAGCUUGUGUGAAGUUGACACAAAUCUAGCCAGCGGACUGCAUGAAACUCGGAGACUGGUCUUGGUGAGGAAACCAAAGGAGCUGACUCAGAAAGUCAACGGGAACCAAGAUACCCUGCGCAGCAGAGAAUUCAAAGUAUAUCAGGCUCAUGCUGGAAGAAGGCUCGGCAGUUAAGAGCAUAUACUGAGUCCAGAGGACCUGAGUCCACUUGCCAGCAAUCACACCAGGUGUCUAUAACUCUAGGUCCAGGCCAGAGCUCUGCAGCACCUACAACCAUGUGCGCACACACUUACAUAUAACUAAGACUAAUAAAAAUGAACGUUUUUAAAAAAUGUCAUGCGUCAGAACCAUCAGUUCAGAACCUGUGUGCUUUAUUUAGAGUUUUUCCGGUCAGCUCGGCAUGAGCUGGAGUCAUCUGAGAAGAGGGAACUUCAGUUGAGAAACCACCUCCAUCAGAUGGGCCUGCUGGCA
rnacentral:lncRNA from 1 species